rnacentral:rRNA from 1 species
AGAGUUUGAUCAUGGCUCAGAACGAACGCUGGCGGCAGGCUUAACACAUGCAAGUCGAGCGCCCCGCAAGGGGAGCGGCAGACGGGUGAGUAACGCGUGGGAAUCUACCUUUUGCUACGGAAUAACUCAGGGAAACUUGUGCUAAUACCGUAUGUGCCCUUUUGGGGAAAGAUUUAUCGGCAAAGGAUGAGCCCGCGUUGGAUUAGGUAGUUGGUGGGGUAAUGGCCUACCAAGCCGACGAUCCAUAGCUGGUCUGAGAGGAUGAUCAGCCACAUUGGGACUGAGACACGGCCCAAACUCCUACGGGAGGCAGCAGUGGGGAAUAUUGGACAAUGGGCGCAAGCCUGAUCCAGCCAUGCCGCGUGAGUGAUGAAGGCCCUAGGGUUGUAAAGCUCUUUCACCGGUGAAGAUAAUGACGGUAACCGGAGAAGAAGCCCCGGCUAACUUCGUGCCAGCAGCCGCGGUAAUACGAAGGGGGCUAGCGUUGUUCGGAAUUACUGGGCGUAAAGCGCACGUAGGCGGAUACUUAAGUUAGGGGUGAAAUCCCAGGGCUCAACCCUGGAACUGCCUUUAAUACUGGGUAUCUUGAGUUCGAGAGAGGUGAGUGGAAUUCCGAGUGUAGAGGUGAAAUUCGUAGAUAUUCGGAGGAACACCAGUGGCGAAGGCGGCUCACUGGCUCGAUACUGACGCUGAGGUGCGAAAGCGUGGGGAGCAAACAGGAUUAGAUACCCUAGUAGUCC